rnacentral:lncRNA from 1 species
GGGUUUGAACAUACUUCUUCAUUACCAGACUUAGUUCUUUCUUUAAUAGAACUAACUUCUUCUUCCUCAUUGCUGGAUUUGCUUCUUGAGGACUCAAUCUUGAAACUUUCAGUUCCCUUCUCAUUUUCUGACUUUAUGCUCUCAUCCUUGGAAGAUAAACUUUCUUGGGGAACUGGGGUUGGCUUAUUUAUCACCUUUGCUUUCUUUCUGGGUGGCCCUUGAAGUAACGUGUUACUUCUUUUCUUUGUGAUUUCUGCAGUUGAGACUUUUUCUUCUCCUGCUUCAAGAUUGUCAGUUGAGAUUCUUGGUGGACCCUCUGUUUUCUUCAUACCCUUUGACUUCUUCCUUGCUGGUGUGGCUGCUACUGGUACAGAGUCAUCAGAUUGAGAACUUUCCAC